CUGGGGAGACAAAGCAAGUGAGGGGGAGAGGGCGAGCGAAUGACAGAUUUAACACAUAUGACACAUAUUGUGGGCUGUUGGACAACAGCGAUUGUAAACAUGUGGGGUUGAUGCAUUACAUGUCACGGCCACAUCAUGGACUGCUUGUUAUAACAGGUGCGUGCACUGGUAAUGAUGGCUGCGCACGGAGGUGAUCUGAUGACCGUUAUAAACUGAUCUCUCGCCUUCACAUGCACCACAGUCAUGUGGACAUCAGAGUGACCUGCAUUACGUGAUUACAGUCCAUACAUUGGAUGUCUUUCAAAAUCCAGUAGA